rnacentral:rRNA from 1 species
AGACCGCCGGCUAAGGCCCCGAAAUAUGGGUUAAGUUAAACUAACGAAGUUCGGUUCCUAAGACAGCUAGGAUGUUGGCUUGGAAGCAGCCAUUCAUUCAAAGAGUGCGUAACAGCUCACUAGUCGAGGGACUGUGCAUGGAUAAUAAUCGGGUAUGAAACCCAUUGCCGAAGCCGCGGGAUAUGUAAAUAUCGGUAGGGGAGCAUUCCAGUAGCGUUGAAGAUAUUCAGACAAUGAAUGUUGGAGCAUCUGGAAAAGCAAAUGUAGGUAUAAGUAACGAUAAAGAGUGUGAGAUGCACUCUCGCCGAAAGACUAAGGUUUCCCGGGCAACGUUAAUCGGCCCGGGGUUAGUCGGGACCUAAGGAUAAGCCGAAAGGUGAGGCCGAUGGCAGAAAGGGUUAAUAAUCCCUUACUACCUUUAUGGGCGAUGUGGAGACGGAAAAGUGAAACUCCCGCGUGCCGACGGAAACGCACGUUAAAGGGUGUAGGCGUAGAUCGCAGUAGGCAAAUCCGCUGUGAGAGCCGAACCUGAUAGUACACAAAGCCUUCGGGCAGCGUGAUAGUGGAGGUAAUCAUAUUCCCGAGAAAAUCCGCUAAGCUUAACCAUAAAGGUACCCGUACCGCAAACGGACACACGUAGUUGGGUAGAAUAUACUAAGGCGCUUGGAAGAUUCACGGUUAAGGAACUAGGCAAAUUAGCCCCGUAACUUCGGGAAAAGGGGUCCUCACGUGAGUGAGGCGCAGAGAAUAGGUCCAGGCAACUGUUUAACAAAAACACAGGGCUGUGCAAAAUCGAAAGAUGAAGUAUACAGUCUGACACCUGCCCGGUGCCGGAAGGUUAAGAGGAGAAGUCAUCGCAAGAGAAGCUUUGAAUUGAAGCCCCGGUAAACGGCGGCCGUAACUAUAACGGUCCUAAGGUAGCGAAAUUCCUUGUCGGGUAAGUUCCGACCUGCACGAAUGGUGUAAUGAUCCGGACACUGUCUCGACCGUGAUUCCAGUGAAAUUGUAGUAUCGGUGAAGAUGCCGAUUACCCGCGAUGGGACGAAAAGACCCCGUGAACCUUUACUGUAGCUUAACGUUGUGACUGGGCAGCGGAUGUGUAGGAUAGGCCGGAGGCUAAGAAGCGGGCACGCCAGUGUUCGUGGAGCCGCCGUUGAAAUACGGCCCUUCCUCUGUCUGGUUCCUAACUCGAAAUAUCGAGGACACCGUUUGGCGGGCAGUUUGACUGGGGUGGUCGCCUCCAAAAGCGUAACGGAGGCUUCUAAAGGUGCCCUCAGGCCGAUUGGUAACCGGCCGUAGAGUGUAAUGGCAAAAGGGCGCUUGACUGGGAGGCCGACAAGCCGAUCAGGUGGGAAACCAGAGCAUAGUGAUCCGGUGGUUCCGUAUGGAAGGGCCAUCGCU